rnacentral:rRNA from 1 species
UUGGUUAAGUUAGAAAGGGCGCACGGUGGAUGCCUUGGCACUAGGAGCCGAAGAAGGACGGGACUAACACCGAUAUGCUUUGGGGAGCUGUACGUAAGCGUUGAUCCAGAGAUUUCCGAAUGGGGGAACCCACUAUCUUUAGUCGGAUAGUAUCCUUACGUGAAUACAUAGCGUGAGGAAGGCAGACCCAGGGAACUGAAACAUCUAAGUACCUGGAGGAAGAGAAAGAAAAAUCGAUUUCCUGAGUAGCGGCGAGCGAAACGGAAAGAGCCCAAACCAAGAAGCUUGCUUCUUGGGGUUGUAGGACACUCUAUACGGAGUUACAAAAGAAAGUUAUAAAUGAAGCGGUCUGGAAAGGCCCGCCAAAGACGGUAACAGCCCGGUAGUUGAAAUGGCUUUCCCUCCAGAGUGGAUCCUGAGUACGGCGGAACACGUGAAAUUCCGUCGGAAUCCGGGAGGACCAUCUCCCAAGGCUAAAUACUCCCUAGUGACCGAUAGUGAACCAGUACCGUGAGGGAAAGGUGAAAAGCACCCCGGAAGGGGAGUGAAACAGUUCCUGAAACCGUGUGCCUACAAGUAGUUAGAGCCCGUUAAUGGGUGAUAGCGUGCCUUUUGUAGAAUGAACCGGCGAGUUACGAUUUGUUGCAAGGUUAAGCGGAAAAAGCGGAGCCGUAGCGAAAGCGAGUCUGAAUAGGGCGCAUAAGUAACAGGUCGUAGACCCGAAACCAGGUGAUCUACCCAUGUCCAGGAUGAAGGUAAGGUAAUACUUACUGGAGGUCCGAACCCACGCACGUUGAAAAGUGCGGGGAUGAGGUGUGGGUAGCGGAGAAAUUCCAAUCGAACUUGGAGAUAGCUGGUUCUCUCCGAAAUAGCUUUAGGGCUAGCCUCGAGGUAAAGAGUCAUGGAGGUAGAGCACUGUUUGGACUAGGGGCCCUUCUCGGGUUACCGAAUUCAGAUAAACUCCGAAUGCCAUGUACUUAUACUCGGGAGUCAGACUGCGAGUGAUAAGAUCCGUAGUCGAAAGGGAAACAGCCCAGACCACCAGUUAAGGUCCCCAAAUAUAUGUUAAGUGGAAAAGGAUGUGGGGUUGCUUAGACAACCAGGAUGUUGGCUUAGAAGCAGCCACCAUUGAAAGAGUGCGUAAUAGCUCACUGGUCGAGUGACCCCGCGCCGAAAAUGUACCGGGGCUAAACAUAUUAC